GAUGAACGCUAGCGGCAGGCUUAACACAUGCAAGUCGAGGGGCAGCGGGGAGUAGCAAUACUUCGCCGGCGACCGGCGCACGGGUGCGUAACGCGUAUGCAACCUACCAUAUACAGGGGGAUAAUCACUCGAAAGGGUGUCUAAUACCCCAUAGUAUUAAAUAACUGCAUGGUUAUUUAAUUAAAGAUUUAUUGGUAUAUGAUGGGCAUGCGUGACAUUAGCUAGUUGGAGAGGUAACGGCUCACCAAGGCAACGAUGUCUAGGGGUUCUGAGAGGAAGAUCCCCCACACUGGUACUGAGACACGGACCAGACUCCUACGGGAGGCAGCAGUGAGGAAUAUUGGUCAAUGGGCGAGAGCCUGAACCAGCCAUGCCGCGUGAAGGAAGACUGCCCUACGGGUUGUAAACUUCUUUUAUAUGGGGAUAAACCUACUCUUGCGAGAGUAGCUGAAGGUACCAUAUGAAUAAGCAUCGGCUAACUCCGUGCCAGCCGCCGCAGUAAAAC
rnacentral:rRNA from 1 species